rnacentral:rRNA from 1 species
GGGGAAUAUUGGACAAUGGGCGAAAGCCUGAUCCAGCAAUGCCGCGUGAGUGAUGAAGGCCUUAGGGUUGUAAAGCCCUUUUGUCCGGAAAGAAAAGCUUCGGGUUAAUACCCCGGGGUCCUGACGGUACCGGAAGAAUAAGCACCGGCUAACUUCGUGCCAGCAGCCGCGGUAAUACGGAGGGGGCUAGCGUUGUUCGGAUUUACUGGGCGUAAAGCGCACGUAGGCGGAUCGUUAAGUCGGGGGUGAAAUCCUGGAGCUCAACUCCAGAACUGCCUUCGAUACUGGCGAUCUUGAGUCCGGAAGAGGUGAGUGGAACUCCUAGUGUAGAGGUGGAAUUCGUAGAUAUUAGGAAGAACACCAGUGGCGAAGGCGGCUCACUGGUCCGGUACUGACGCUGAGGUGCGAAAGCGUGGGGAGCAAAC